GACGAACGCUGGCGGCGUGCUUAACACAUGCAAGUCGAACGGAAAGGCCCUGCUUUUGUGGUGUGCUCGAGUGGCGAACGGGUUAGUAACACGUGAGUAACCUGCCCUUUACUUUGGGAUAACUUCAGGUAACUGGGGCUAAUACCGGAUAGGAGCUCCUGCUGCAUGGUGUGGGUUGGAACGUUUCGGCGUUUGGGGAUGGACUCGCGGCUUAUCAGCUUGUUGGUGGGGUAGUGGCUUACCAAGGCUUUGACAGGUAGCCGGCCUGAGAGGGUGACCGGACACAUUGGGACUGAGAUACGGCCCAGACUAAUACGGGAGGCAGCAGUGGGGAAUAGUGCACAAUGGGCGGAAGCCUGAUGCAGUAACGCCGCGUGCGGGAUGACGGCCUUCGGGUUGUAAACCGAUGUCGCCUGUGACGAAGCGUGAGUGACGGUAAUGGGUAAAGAAGCACCGGCUAACUACGUG
rnacentral:rRNA from 1 species